rnacentral:misc_RNA from 1 species
GUGGCUCAGUUCAGAUCGUAGGCUGCAACUCGCCUACGUGAAGUAGGAAUCGCUAGUAAUCGCAGGUCAGCAUACUGCGGUGAAUACGUUCCCGGGCCUUGUACACACCGCCCGUCACACCAUGGAAGUUGGCCAUGCCCGAAGUCGUUACUCCAACCCUUGUGGAGGAGGACGCCGAAGGUGGGGCUAAUGACUGGGGUGAAGUCGUAACAAGGUAGCCGUACCGGAAGGUGCGGCUGGAUCACCUCCUAACAGGGAGACAACAAAAUGUUUAUAUUUAUUAUUUUGUCACCUUAGGUCGAUCGGUAUCUCACAUUCUUAAUUUAUUAAGGAUUUCAAUUCCUAAGUUUUUCUAGGUCACACCCAUUUUUUUUCCUGGGCCAUUAGCUCAGGUGGUUAGAGCGCACCCCUGAUAAGGGUGAGGUCCCUGGUUCAAGUCCAGGAUGGCCCAUAUCUCUCUAUGUUGGGGGUAUAGCUCAGUUGGUAGAGCGCCUGCUUUGCAAGCAGGAUGUCAGCGGUUCGAGUCCGCUUACCUCCACUGAUUACCACCUCUUUCAUAUUCUUUAUGAAGGAAAAAAUUUGUGUUGUGAUCAAAUUCUGAACGAAUCUAGCUUCCUAAUGAAUUCAUUAAGAUGCUGGACUCAUUGAAUUAAUUUCAUUGUUUUCAGAGAACCUUGACAACUGCAUAGAUUUUUUUAAAGACAAUAAGCAUCUUUAAUGAUGCAGAUUUAUUAUUUGUGC